AAGCUAUUCCAGCCACACAGAUGCAAACCUCAUAGCAACACGAGACAGAAGACACACACACGCUCUCGUGAGUAGGCUCGGACCGCGCACCGGCAGACGCACGCGAAUACCCAUAAGCAGCCCCAGACACAGACCGUCCUACAGCUCCCGGUCGGCACAGGCUGGCCUCUAUGAAGCAUGCAGCCGCCCUACCUGGUUAUCCCGGAUACAAGCACCACCGCCUCGCACGUGCUCGUUCACCCUGGGAACACGGGGGCCGCAGCUCCACGGACAGGCAGGAACGGCCCGCAGUGGCCUCUGGGCAAUGACUUGAGACAGGGGAAAGGCGGGAAACGCUCGGCGCGAAGGGCUCUGGGCCUCGUAGUUCGGAGGGCGAGGCCUGUGCUCCCAAUGAUGUAAACCGCGUGCAGGCCAAGAUACUUCCCAGAGCCACAGCCCCGCACCAUCCCAGGGUCCAGCUGGAAGAACUAAGGCUGAGGCCCCAAUCGCUGCCCCUGCACAGGGAAGGGGCGAUGCCGGGAGAGGAGGAGCAGAGGACACCGAAGUCAGAGGUGGAAAGGAACAAGCUCUUCGGAUGGAGGAAGGGAGGGUUCCAAGGAGCUCCUGCCCACCACCUCAGCUCGAAGGUGCUGCUGUGAGGAAGCCCCAGGGGUGGGAGGCUCCUCCUGGGAGAGGAGCGCUCUGAGGAUGCAUGUCCAAGGGGACCGACAAGCAAAGAAGUUAGAUCUGCAGUUCACCUUAAUUUUGGCAGCUCACUGUAUCAUAACGGAGCUCAGAGGCUGGAAGAUAAACUGGGAGGUUCAGUUUUGUCCCAAGCCAGCCAGAGCAGGAGAAAGUGACCGUGAGGACUUGAGGGAACAACAAUGAAAAUGUCUGUCUUUGGAGGAGGUGGAACUCCUGACUCCCAGCUAGGAAGGGAGAGGGAACUCUAUGUCAGGACAACCCAUGAUGCAAGUACAGUCUUUCAUGGGUGUCGGGCCCCUGGAAGGGGCCAUAUUUGGGGAUUUCCAGCACCAGGGCUCACCAACCUUUAUCCCAGGUGCUACCCAAGGCAAGGCAAUGGCUUCCUAUGGCCAACAUAUGCUCAAAUUUUCUGCAAGAGCUGGGGUAUUCGACCUUUAUCUUUGGGACCACUAUAAGCUAAUUACCUGGAUGGUGUGGAGGAAAGGAUUGCCCUCUUGAUGGCAGUGAGAAGGAAGGGUCAGCAAAAGGGACCAAGAACAAAUGGUCCAGGUCAUAGUGCUUCCCAGCCUUCAUCAUGGCACAACCAGAAAAUGGUACUAUUUGUAUGGCACACUGGAGUUGUAAAAUUAGAGUAUAGGUUAAGCUGAUAUAGUAAAGACCCCAAAAUACAUAUUCAAUGACCUGAAUACCAUAUAUUUAUUUGUACCUCGUGUAAGAAUCUAGGGCUGAGCAGUCCAGGGCUGGUGGGAUAGCUCUGCCUUCCAUAGUGAGUAGUAUCCAUCUUUGGGGCAAAGGGGGAUGUUAAAACUCUCAGCAUCUCCCAGCCAAUAGGGCAGGAGAGGGCAGAGGAAGCAGGCACAGUGCUUUCUAGGGUUGCAGUCCAGAAAUUACACUCAUCCCUUUUGCUCACAUCUCAUUUGUUAAACUGCACUUCAUAAACAUUAGAAACUGUGAUGCAUCACAGGACAUUAUGAAGACAGUAAAAAGAUAGCCUAAAGAUGGAGGAAAAUAUUUGCAAAUUAGGUAUAGGAUAAAGGUCUAUUAUCUAAUACAUAUUAAGAUCUCUUUAUGACUCAACAAUGAAAAGACAAACAACAAAAUUAGACUUUGGGUAAAAGACAUGAGUAGACAUCUAGCCAAAGAAGAUAUACAAAUGACCAGUAAGCAUAUGAAAAGAUGUUUGACCUUAUUAGUCAUUAGUGAAAUGUAAAUGAAAACCACAAUAAGGUACCACUUCACAUCUACUAGAAUGGCAAUAAUCAAAAAAAGGAAACUGGGUGUUAGUGAGGAUGUGAAGAUAUUGGAAAACUGAUACAUUGCUGGUGGGAAUGUAAAAUAGUUCAGCCACUGUAGAAAACAAUUUGGCAGUUCCUCAGAAAGCUAAACAUUGAAUUACCGUAUGACUUAAUAAUUCUACCCCUAGGUAUAUACCCAAAAGAACUGAAUACAAGACCAUGCACACACAUGUUCAUAGCAGCACUAUUUACAAUAGCCACAAGGUGGAAAUAACCCAGAUGUCCAUCAACAGAUGAAUAAAGUUACCAGGUUACCAAAUAGAUGAAAGUUACCAAAUAGACAAAAUUACCAGUGUGGUAAUUCAUGCAAUGGAAUAUUAUUCAGCCAUAAAAAAGAAUGGAGUAUGCAUAACGCCACAACAUGGAUGAAGCUGCAAAACAUUAUGCUAAAGAAAGUAGAUACAAAAGGUUACAUAUUGCAUGAUUCAAUUUAUAUGAAAUACCUAAAAUAAAUAAAUCCAUAG
rnacentral:lncRNA from 10 species